UUUUUUUUUUUUUUUUUUGCAUUGGCUCCAACCUUCUGCUUUGGACACAUACAAGGUCUUAAAAAACUAUGCCUACAUCUUCCCAUGAUAUUAUAUAAGAACUUAUUUCCAGACCAAAAAAUCUUCCCACAGAUGAUUUAAAAUCAGGGUACAAGUACAAAAUGUGCAAUCUUUAGGUGAUGGAUAUUAUUUGUGACAAAACCAGCUUUUCUCUAUUUGGAUUUGACCCAAAAAAUUCUAAACAUGAGUCAUAGCAAUGUGCAUCACUAUAUAAUCCAUCAGGAAUAUAUCUUCACAAAUUUUUUGCUUUAAAUACAAGCAUGUCAAGAAGCUAACACAGUUCAUGGAGCUUGUGACUUUAAAAGUCUUGCUAAGAACAUGAAAUACUAUAAGCAUCCCAUUCCUCCCCAGUAUAAUGUGAAGAAUAUGGAGCAAGAGCUGCAGGGGCCAUGACCACAUGGCUGACCUCAAGGAUGUUAACAUCCUACUUUACUAAUUGCAUAAUCUUAUCCACCUUGAGACAUAGCUUUUGUACAAUCACUUAAAUUGUGUAUUGAGAUAUAGAGUAACUUAGGAUAUUUAUCAUGAAAUCCUUGAUAUAACAAAAAAUACUCUUUAAAGUACAAAUAAUUCUGGAUUUUCUUCUUGAUAAAAUGUAAUUUUAUGAGAGUAAUUAUAAUAAUUCCUUAUCUUUUACAGAUAAAGAUUUACUAUAAUUUGUUUUUCCAUUCUUUGAAAUAGAUCCAGUGAGACACAUCAUUAUUUUCAAAAAACAAAAACAAAAACCAGAGGCAAUAAUAGUAAUUGUUCAUAGAGUUGAUGAUUAAAUAAAAUAACAACAUAUAAAGAGCUAUUUAUAGCACCUAGCACAUAUUCCAUACUCAAUUAAUGUUAGCUGUUAAAAUCCACAUUUCUUAACCCACUAUUCUCUCUUGUAACAAGAUUCUAUUGCUCCAAGAAAAAAAAAAAAAAAAAAGACAACUUUUUUCUUUAGAGGCAUUAGGAACACUUUCAGAAGUCCUUUGCCCAAUAUCUGUUUAUUAUAAAAAUAAAUAACAAUGAAAAUUUUAUUUUAAGCAGACCAUUUGGUUUUUGUCCUGAAAUUUGCAUGCCAUAAAAUCACCUCACUGGUCAUUGAGAAGGACUUGCAGGAUGGAAUUCUCUUUCAAGUUAUCAGUCAAGUUUUGGGAGUUGUACAUGCAAAAUCUCUGACCCAACUCCAAGAAUAAGUCAAAGGAAAUAAUUCUGGGCUCACUAAGGGCAUUUGCCCAAAGGGGAUUAACUCACUCUGACCUAGCAGCCUCUUUGUUUAAACCUAAAGAAACACCUGAAUGUCGAUCGGGAGAAGAGUGGAUAAAAAAGAUGUAGUACCUAUACACAAUGGAAUAUUACUUAGCUAUUAAAAGGAAAGAAAUAACGGCAUUUGCAGCAACAUGGAUGGACCUAGAUAUUAUCAUGCUAAGUGAAAUCAGUCGGAAAAUAAGACACCAAUAUCAAAUGCUAUCACUUACAUGUGGAAUCUAAAAAAAGGACACAAUGAACUUCUUUGUAUAAUGGAUACUGACUCAUAGACUUUGAAAACUUAUGAUUUCCAAAUGGACAGGUUGCAGGGUAGGGGGCUGCACUGAGAGUUUGUGAUGGAAAUGCUAUAAAAUUUGGUUGUGAUGAUUGUUGUACCCCUAUAAAUGUAAUAAAAUUCAUUAAGUAAUUAAAAAAUAAAUAAAAUUUAAAAAAUAAAAAUUAAAAAAUUAAAAAAGAUAGAGAUUGGCAUAAUGGGUUUUAAAAAGAAAAAAACAAUUGUUAAACUAUGUAUGGGGAUGGAUGUUGACUAUACUUACUGUGGUGAUCAUUUUGCAAUAUAUACAAAUAUUGAAUCAUUAUGCCAUAUACCUGAAACUAGUAUAAUGUAUAUCAAUUAUACUUCAACUUUUAUAAAAGAAUAGAACUAAUAAGGAUACAGCAUGGAAUGAUGGAAAGAAUGUCAAGCCAGUCAUCAGGAGACUGGGGGCUUAUUGAACUUUACCAAGUGUUUACAUUUGGUCAAAUCUCAACUUUUUAGUGUCAUUGUUACCCUGGUAAAAGGCCACUGUUCCAUCUCCUGUUUAAAUUUGAGUGUAAGUUUUAAGGAUUAAAUGCAAUCACAUCUAUAAAAGGGAUAAAAAAUGGUAUUUUUAAAAAAAUUAAUAUUGUUCUAGCAUUUUAUAUUCAAAUAAAUUGUAAUAAAAGGAACAAAAAACACACCAUGGUCAGCCAAUUGAACCAAAUUGUGCUGAUUAUUCCACAAUGUGAAUGAAGCCAUCACAAUAAAAACUAACUCGUGCACUUACUAAAUACAUACUCUGGAAAAGAACAAAGCUGUAUAGUUCCACUUUUACCUUACCACCCCAGUUUUGUAAGAGCUUAACCUGGAAAAUUCCCUGUAAUGUUAUCUGUGUCAGAUGGCAGUCUGUUCGUUAGGAAUGAAAGCAAUGUGAUAAUCUUAUUACACUCAGGUGUUAAGGACAUCAUGCAUUCAUUAGUUUUACUAGAAGGAAUGGCCUCUAAAGGCAUCUAGAUAGGGCAAUGGUUAAUCAAAAGCAGUGAAGAUUGAUAAACUUUCAGGAAAGAGUAGGUGAUACAUUUGAAGAUAGGGCAUCCAUCAAAUUGUAUCACUUAAACAAAUCCUCUGAUACAAAAGUAUUUCUGUAGCUAUGUAUUAAUUUACACCAAAGCAUUUAGUUUAUAACUUAGUAUUGUCAGCUUAAGGUGCUACAGUUAAGGAAAGCAAGACAGACAUUCAAUGAUAGAUUAAAGAAUUGCUGUAAAUACAAAAUGUCAUGAGAGUAUGUACCAAGGCCUGAAGAAGUUUGGGGAGUCAGGGAGUACUUCCUUGAAGGUUUCUUACUAAGUUCUAGUAGAAAUAAUAUAUGAAAGGGAGUUUGACAAGAUAGAGGGAAAAAAGCACCUCAAGAGAAAAGACUAAUACCUAUGAAGGCCCUAAGGUGAGACAAGCGACAUUGACAAAGCACUGACUGAGAGGAGAUUGGAAUGAAUAGAACGCACAGCACAAAAGAAGAGGCUCAGCAACAGAAAGGUUCUCCCACCCCAGGCUCUAUUCCUUUAUAAACUAAGGUCAAUAGAAACCACAUAAUAUUUAAAGCAAGAGAUAAAGGAGAAGAGUAAGUGGGGUGGACUGCUUGGGAACUUAUAGCAGAGGCCUGGCGAGAAAUGGCAAGAGCCUGAAUCAGAGUGGAUGCAGAACAUGGAAGGGACUGGAAGAAUUUAAGAGGUAAUUACAAGGUAAAAACCAAUAAAAAUUUGUGUUUGAUUGUAUAUGGAAACUGAGGACAAAGACAUAGCAACAGAAAUUCUUAGUUCCCUGAUUUGCUCAGCUAGAUGGUGAUGGUGCCAUUCUCAUAGGUAGGGCUAUUAGGGAAUUCCUGAGACUUUCAUUCCAGUGGCCCAUGGAUUGGCACUCUGUUUACUCCCUAUGCUUUGCCACAUAGUAAUUAUGGAUAAAACAUAUCUUAAGGAAACCAAAACAAUAUAUAACUUAGGAAAAAUAAAAUAAAUAUUUCCAAGGACCAGAAAUAGAACAGAAACAUAAGAUUAAGAAAGAAGUUAAAGCUGAAGGUCUUCUCAGUCCAGAUUUAAAAACAGAGAGUGGUGGCUAGGAAUUCUGCUUCUCUGGGGCAAAGGACACUAAAUGCCCUGGAUUUUAAAAAGGUGACUGGAAUCAGGCUCUUUGCUUGAAAAGGUAGGAAGGGACCGCCUCCCUCAUUGGUACAAAUAAGCUAACAAAAAAAAGGUGACUAUUUACAUGUGUUUUCUAACAAAUGAAACGAGUAUGAUCUAGAGACUUCUGGGACAACAUUAAACACACCAACAUUCACAUUACAGAGUUUUCAGGAGAAGGGAGAAAGGACCAGAGAAAAUAUUUGAAAAUAUAAUCAAAAAAUUUCCUAACAUUGGGAAGGAAAUGCUCACUCAAGUCCAGAAAGCUCAGAGUCCCAUACAUGAUAAACCAAGGAGGAACAUGUCGAGACACAUAUUAAUCAAACUGAUCAAACUUAAAGACAAAGGGGAAAUAUUAAAAGCAACAAGGGAAAAGCAAUAAAACUACUGUGGAUAACAGCAUGGAGUUUCCUUAAAAACCUCAAAAUAGAACUAAAAUAUGAUCAAGCAAUCAUAUUCCCAGGCAUACUUCUGGAGAAUACCAUAGUUUGAAAAGAUACAUGCACUCCAAUCUUCAUUGGAGCAUUAUCAACAAUUUCCAAGACAUGGAAGCAACUUAAGUGUCCCUCCAUAUAGGGAUGGAUAAAGAAAAUGAAGUACAUAUAUACAAUGGAAUAUUACUGAACCAUAAAAAGAAUGAAAUAAUGCCAUUUGAAGAAACAUGGGUAGACCUAGAGAUUAUCAUAUUAGGUGAAGUAAGUUGGACACAGAAAGACAAAUACCAAAUGAUAUCACUUAUAUGUGGAAACUAAAAAUGAUACAAAUGAAUGUAUUUGCAAAACAGAAGCCAGCUUCAAUUGUGGACUUAUGGUUAAAAAAGGGGAUGGGUCAGUAAAGGAUGGAUUGGCAGUUUGGUAUUGGCAUAUGCACACUAUUGUAUAUGGAAUGGAUUUUCAACAUAGACCUGCUAUAUAGCACAUGGAACUGUACUUAAUAUUCUGUGAUAACCUAAAUGGGAAAAGAAUCUGAAAAAGAAUGGAUAUGUGAAUAUGUAUAACUGAAUUACUUUGCUGUACAGCAGAAAUUAUCAUAACAUUGUAAAUCAACUACAUUUUAAUAACUUUUUUUUAAAUAAAAAAGAAUGAUGUGCAGAAAGGCACAGAUUUAGGCUCUAUAUCAGGAACUGGCUAUAUGGCUGGAUCUGUAAGUUGUUUAAUGCCACCACCAGACAGGAAACCAUACCAGCACUCAUGGAGGUAGAGAAAGGAGUAGAGGAAAAAGAAAAGACUGUACAACAGUAUAUGUCUAUACAUCACAAAUUUCAACACAUGAAAAAAAAUAAUAUCAAGUGAAUCGAAAAAUGAAAAACAACCAAAAAAAAAAAAAAAACCUAGCAGAAGAAUCAUUUCUCCAUAAAAAAUUAAAGUUAUGAGGAAUUCCUGCUGUAGCCCAGCAGGUUAAGAAUCCAACUAGUAUCCAUGAGGAUGCAGGUCUGAUCCCUGGUCUCCCCCAGCGGGUUAAGGAUCCAGUGUUGCCAUAAGCUGCAUAAAAUUAAACAAACGCAUUUGGAUAUAAUGUGUAACCUGUAUAUAAAAAGGAAAUAACAAGAAAAUCUUGUUUGAUUAACCAUUUCCAUUAAUAUAAAAAGUUGUAUUAGU
rnacentral:lncRNA from 1 species